ensembl:lncRNA
CACAGGAGCUGCCCUCAGGCAGCCAGCCUGGCCACCUCUUCUGCCACGGGAGCUCGCUUCUGUCACAGGCUGGAAGGAGCAAGAGGAGUCCUCCUGUCUCCAGCAGAAAGCUAAAAACAAAUGCUGGAAGCCCAGGAGUUGAUCAGUUCCCAUCUGAACAGGGCCCUCUGAAAGAUGCCCAAUGCACGCACGGUACAUCCUGGUUUUCCAGAAGAGUGCCACAGAGUAUUGGAGCCUGCCCAGCUCUAUGCUCCUUGAGUAGAGGUCCAGCAGAUGGAAGGGGUGAGCCAGUUAUCUGUGGUCUUUUAACAGCUCAGGCAGCAGCACAGUGCUUCCUUUUGGGACCAGCCCAGUUCUGUUAUGCUCCCCACCUGCCACUGCUGUAUCCAAGCACGGGAGAAGCAGCUCCGGGCUGAGGCUUGGCUCACUGGUAAAGGACAAAAGGCACAUCCCAGCCUGGGUAAGUCCAUCUGGAAAAUAGCUAGAAUAUGACCAGAGAUAAGUAGGUUAAAUGACCAGAACACCAUUAGAGCGUAUGAUCCUUAAUUACUACUUCCAGAACACUUUGAUGUCCUUAGGGAGGGAGCAUAUAAAGUUCAAAAUGAGUGCUUAAUAAGUGAGAUUUUCAAAAGCAUUUAAAUAGCAAAGGAGUUCCAGAGACCGCUAAGUUCCAUGGGGAGCUUUGAAAUUCCCCCUCAAGAUAAUAAUUGUACGUCCCACUAUUUGUUAAAAAGCCUUUCUUCUGCAGCGAUAGCCUGUAUUACGUAUACACAUUCUGUAGUCAUGUUUUUGUUCUCUGACUAACUGAAAGCAUAGCCUCAGUGUAUCUCUCUGCGUGUUGUGCAAUAGCAGAUUUGGAAUUUGCAUUUUUUAGAUUACCAGACAAUAAAAAAAAAAAAAAAUAGAGAUUGCGUAGAUAUGCGCCACCCUUCAUUAAAGGCAGUGAUAUUCUCUCCCACCCAGCCCUGCCUAACCAACACAGUAUUGCACAUAUGCCUCCAGACAAUGAGACUACCACACCUUUAGCUUCUAAUUAAAAUUAUUAAGUCGAGAAGGAAAGAAAUGCAUUUUAGUCUGUGCUUGUUAGCCAAAUGUCUCGAUAAAACUGAACAUGUUCUGCUGCUGCCCACCAUCUGUUCUUAUAAAUACUUAUUAAAAACACUGAAUGGGAAAAUAAAUUUGUCAUCACUGACUUUCAGGGAUUUACACCAACUCUGCCCUCAGCUUCGUCUCUAAUGCAGGCUAAUAAACAUCUGUGGAACACGAUACAUUUUUUCCCAUUAAAAAUAUUUUGCAUUUGACAAACUUCAGUAGAAAAGAUUCCAAACCAACGCACGUAUGAAGCUGAAUACAUAGAGGAAUGAGGCCAUCUUUAAUGAGGAUGGUAAUCUAAUGGGGCAAUCUUGCUUUUCCUCUCUUGACCCAUUCCUUACAUAUUCUCAGUCUUUGCACUGCUGAAGAAGUCAACUACCGCAGAAGCACUACACCUCCCUGCCUUUCAUGAAGAGGGGCUUCAGCUUUGAGGCAUCAAAAAAAAUCUUAUUAAUUUCCCUCCACUGGUGGAAAUUCAAAUAUUUUGCAUUAAUGAAUUAAAAAAUAAAUAAAAAAUCAGACUUAACCAUAGCACCCAGUCCAAUCAUGAUUCUUCAUCUAUUGCACCUGAUAGAGUGAAGAAAUCCCAGCUGAUGCAGUGCAGCUAUCAGUAAAUAGGGGUUGACAAGAAUGUCAGUGCUGUUUCUCUUGCAGACUUCCUAAUGAACUUUAGGUCUAAUCAUCAUUCCCAGGCUCUCAUCAGGCAAUUUAAUUAACUUGCCAUCAGUGUCUUCUGUUGAAGCAGAUAAAACAUUAUAGGUACAAUGUUAUGGCCAGGUGCGAUGACAAAGCCAGUAGUAUUUGGAAAAUGAAGGAAAAGGGGACUUUCCUGAGAACACUGCUCAUCUCUAGAACCAUCAUUCUUUAGUGCCUGAAAGACAGGUAAGUAUCCUUCUGCUUGCAGGAAAAAAUGUGAGCUCUGUUUGCAGAGUAAUUGUUGUUAAUUCAUAUUUUUCUUGGUAACUCUUCUCUCUUCCCACAGAUAGUCCUCCCAGUCAAGACACAGUUCCCAAGACAGAAGUGCCUUUACAAGAGAGAUGAAGGAAUGGUACUAGAUAUCAACAUUGUCGGGGUCAGAAGGGGCUCAUAGGUACAGGUACUAAAUUCCCUGGGGAUCUACUUCAGGUGGGACAGAGGCCAUGGAUUUUUUUCAGCAAUUUUUGGUGAGAAAGAGGCUGAGCCCGUGCUAUUGAAGUAAAUGCUGCUCAGCUGAUACCAAACCAGUUGUGGGCAGCUUAGUACUAAUCCCAUCAAAGACCAGCAGUGUUUAGGUGGUGCAAGGCUGGGACUACAUUGGGGCUGGUGCAGUACUGUAAGGAGAAGUCACACCUCCUCCUCAGGCAGGUGUUCUGCAUCCUGCCAGAAGGGGAAGGGAGAGCAAGGAGAGGGCUGAAAUAUAUCUCAUACCAACUGGAAGGGAGCGUGGUUGUUCUGAACUGCAGGGGCACAAGGCAGUCAAAAAGAACAGCAGCAUGUCUUGAAAUAAUAACAUGCAUUAUUAUUUUUAUAUAUCAUAUAUCAUGUAAUAUGCAAUAAAUUGUUUCUAGCAGACAGCAUGAACAAAGAGUGCCUUUUCCACCAUCUGCAAAUUCUCCCUAGAAACUGUUAGGAGUGGGCUUUCCCCUGCAAUUCCUGGUACCAUCCAUUUCAGGUUAGACUGGAAGUAUUGUGAAAGAGGCUGUCGUUGACUCGUUAACAAACCCAGCUCUUUCAGGCUUCUGACUCUCUCACAUUCAAAUCCACAAAACGUCUCUGUGCACUGAUGCAGAGGUGACCGGGGAUGUUAUCUUAUAAAAGACAUUAGAGUAGCUUCGAAAUUCAGAAAUGAAACUUUGCAUUAUCCCCAAGGCUGCUUAUAGGCCAGCCAAGGUGAGAACAAAGAGGAAAAAGUGAAGAUGGAAGUAGGCACUAGAUUACAACUGAGAUGUGUUUCUGUUUUUUCUCUGUGCAUUUGGUUGGUAUUCUGGUUUUUUUUUCCCCACUCUCUCCCUUAUUUUCAGUACGUACAAUAGUUAACUCUGUUGUAAGCUAGCCAAAACUUUCUGAAGGCAAUGGGAAGGAAUUACACUGGUUGCAAAUAUGCACUGGGUAUAUAUGGCCUUUUGUAAAUAGAAAAGCAUGAGAUGUUCCAAAUCCAACUUAAUAUACUUCAGUAGCUUCACUUUAUAUUUUGUUACUGUAGUAUACUGGAAUCUCAGAUUGUGUUUGGAGUAAAUAGUUGCUGACUAAAAAUCUCAGCAAGUACACACACAGAUUUGUUUCAAGAUUCUGAAAAGAAACAAACUGCUGUCCCCUUCUAAAAUCUCUGAAGUUUUGGAGUUCUUGCAGAUUUUCAUCCCAGAACCAAAAAGCAAGAAGCAAGUGCAGGAAAAGAGCAUGGAAGGAGAUUGACAUCUGUUUUCCCUUCACCGUCCUAAAGCAGCUCAGCAUCGGUUCCUGAGCAGCUGAGGAACCUCUGCUGUGGAGGCAAGAACCUUGGAGAGAAGGGCAGGGCACAUUUCCUGGCUAAAGUCAAAGGCACAAGGUGCUGGCCAACACUGAGAUGCCAAACUGGAGGCUGGUCCACCCACCAGAUCUCUAGGAUGUCUCUCGGAGAUUGUGCAGAUCCGAGCAGCAGCACAAAGCAUCGUGAAGUCAAAUGUAACAUUAAAAAUGCAUUCAGCAUGGUAAGUCAGGCUUCUGGCUUCCACAACUCCUGCAGUGGGGCCCCGUGACUCUCCCAAGCUCAGGUUUCCUGUGGUCAGCCAGGAUUGCCUCAUGGUCCUGAGUCAUCUCCAGUUCUUCUGACUCCAGGAGCAGAGCAGUAUCCAUCCCCAAGCAGCCUUGCUAGAGCAGAGCCUGAUUUGCUUAGAACAAAGACAGGACAGAAAAAAUGGACCCACAACAGAAGACAUACCUAUUAGAGUCGGCCUGCAUGCCUCCCACCAAGGCUGUGCUGGCUCUCCUCCAGGCUCUCUCAGCACAGCCUCUCCUUGCAUCAUCCUCUGCCCAGUGGCAGCUCCUGACAGCUGCCUGUUCCCUCCUAGGAACAGGAUUUCUGAGUGUCUAAACUGGCAAAAUAGAGCCUGAAGUUUUUCACUUGAGCAGGAUGCUCAAACGAAUAAGCUUUUCAGUGCCUGCCAGGAUACUCUGUCUGGAAAGUCACUGUACAGACUGACAUGCUUUUUUCUUCCCACAGUCCUACUUAAUUAGAGCAAUGCUGGCUACCCAGGAAGCGUUCUCUUACACUUCUAGAAGUCAAGCAGAUUAGCUUAAUUUCCAUGAGUACAUACAUUUGUAUUGCUGAGAACAUGCUGAAGACCAAGCUAGCACUGAGCUGAUCUGGCAAGUCCACACAGCACAGCAAAGUACCGUGUAGAUAUGACAAGUGGGACUGAGAAGCAGAAUAAUCCUGUUCAGCUGGCACAGCACUCAGGGCUAUAUUGCUUCUGUUUCAGUGCUGGCUUGCAAAGAGCCUCUGCACCGUGUUUCCCAGCUCUUCAGGCUGUGGGAGUAAACUGAGCAGCACCAGCCUGGAUGUCUUUGUGCACACCCUAAGUUGCAGAUCAGAUUCCUAGAUUAUUACAUAGCUACUCCACUCUACCACAGCCUCUGUCUUUUAAUCAGUGAGAAAAUGUCCUUUAGAAGGAUCCAUUUUACCUCCAUCUUGUUACACUUCUGCUGUGAGACACUUACAACCUCUACUUUGGUGCAUUGAUUUAUUUAAGCCUAUCCUCGAGAGAGUCAUAUAAGACCUUAGAUGCCUCCACUUAUCCUGAUCUCUUUCUUCCCUUCAACGUAUCACAAAGCCUUUUUGAGAAAUAGCUAUACAACAGUUAUUUUACUAAUAUAGAAUUAAGAUUUGGUGCUAGAUAUGGUAUGAUAGACAGUUUUGGUAGCAUCCUAUAUUAGUUACCCUAAAUUCAAGAAAACAUUCCUUCUAGCAGGUCCUAGCAGAGCAAAGAACAGCCAGCAUGAGAAAAUUAGCCAUCUUGCAAAGUUUUGUAGCACUGAUUAUGUUCUUGAAAAGGGGCCAGCACUCCAUCCCAUCUACUUGUAAAUGUUCUGCAGUUAUUAUACUCUUAAUAACUCAAGACUGAUGGAUGAGUGUAAGGUUGGGCAGCUUUGUUUGAUAGCC